CCUCCUUUCUAAGGAUGUUUCAGGUGGAUAUUGCAUCACCAUCCAUGAAUUCCUUCCGAUAUAUAUACAGGCGCGUAGCUCAGCUGGUUAGAGCGCACGACUGAUAAUCGUGAGGUCGGCAGUUCAACUCUGCCCGUGCCUACCAUUUUUGCGUAAAAAUUGCGAUUAUAGGUAUAUAUUGGAAUGAAUUAGCCAAUUUUAAAAUUGGUAGCUAUUUGAUAAUGUAAGUGAUUAGAUCUCAAGAACAUUUGCAUAUGAAGCUUGACCGCAUUCAUAUGCAUAGCUUGCGUUCCGUAUAUUGGUAGUAUUUAGAUACUGCCUUCGUAUACGGUGCGAUCAAGCGUCUUAAGGGCAUUUGGUGGAUACCUUGGCGUUGAGAGGCGAUGAAGGACGUAAUACGCUGCGAUAAGCUGUGGGGAGGCGCG
rnacentral:misc_RNA from 1 species